GCGGUAGAGAGAAGCUUGCUUCUCUUGAGAGCGGCGGACGGGUGACCAAUGCCUAGGAAUCUGCCUGGUAGUGGGGGAUAACGUUCGGAAACGGACGCUAAUACCGCAUACGUCCUACGGGAGAAAGCAGGGGACCUUCGGGCCUUGCGCUAUCAGAUGAGCCUAGGUCGGAUUAGCUAGUUGGUGAGGUAAUGGCUCACCAAGGCGACGAUCCGUAACUGGUCUGAGAGGAUGAUCAGUCACACUGGAACUGAGACACGGUCCAGACUCCUACGGGAGGCAGCAGUGGGGAAUAUUGGACAAUGGGCGAAAGCCUGAUCCAGCCAUGCCGCGUGUGUGAAGAAGGUCUUCGGAUUGUAAAGCACUUUAAGUUGGGAGGAAGGGUUGUAGAUUAAUACUCUGCAAUUUUGACGUUACCGACAGAAUAAGCACCGGCUAACUCUGUGCCAGCAGCCGCGGUAAUACAGAGGGUGCAAGCGUUAAUCGGAAUUACUGGGCGUAAAGCGCGCGUAGGUGGUUUGUUAAGUUGGAUGUGAAAUCCCCGGGCUCAACCUGGGAACUGCAUUCAAAACUGACUGACUAGAGUAUGGUAGAGGGUGGUGGAAUUUCCUGUGUAGCGGUGAAAUGCGUAGAUAUAGGAAGGAACACCAGUGGCGAAGGCGACCACCUGGACUAAUACUGACACUGAGGUGCGAAAGCGUGGGGAGCAAACAGGAUUAGAUACCCUGGUAGUCCACGCCGUAAACGAUGUCAACUAGCCGUUGGAAGCCUUGAGCUUUUAGUGGCGCAGCUAACGCAUUAAGUUGACCGCC
rnacentral:rRNA from 1 species